rnacentral:rRNA from 1 species
UGGGGAAUUUUGGACAAUGGGCGCAAGCCUGAUCCAGCCAUGCCGCGUGCGGGAAGAAGGCCUUCGGGUUGUAAACCGCUUUUGUCAGGGAAGAAAUCUUCUGAGUUAAUACCUCGGGAGGAUGACGGUACCUGAAGAAUAAGCACCGGCUAACUACGUGCCAGCAGCCGCGGUAAUACGUAGGGUGCAAGCGUUAAUCGGAAUUACUGGGCGUAAAGCGUGCGCAGGCGGUUUUGUAAGACAGAGGUGAAAUCCCCGGGCUCAACCAGGGAACUGCCUUUGUGACUGCAAGGCUUGAGUGCGGCAGAGGGGGAUGGAAUUCCGCGUGUAGCAGUGAAAUGCGUAGAUAUGCGGAGGAACACCGAUGGCGAAGGCAAUCCCCUGGGCCUGCACUGACGCUCAUGCACGAAAGCGUGGGGAGCAAACAGGAUUAGAUACCCUGGUAGUCCACGCCCUAAACGAUGUCAACUGGUUGUUGGGAAGGUUCCUUCUCAGUAACGUAGCUAACGCGUG